CGGAGGGUGCAAGCGUUAUCCGGAUUUAUUGGGUUUAAAGGGUACCGUAGGCGGACUUAUAAGUCAGUGGUGAAAGACCUGUCGCUUAACGAAUAGAACUGCCAUUGAUACUGUAAGUCUUGAGUAUAUUUGUAGGUAGCUGGAAUAAAGUAGUGUAGCGGUGAAAUGCAUAGAUAUUACUUAGAACACCAAUUGCGAAGGCAGGUUAACCAAGAAUAUAACUGACGCUGAGGGACGAAAGCGUGGGGAGCGAACAGGAUU
rnacentral:rRNA from 1 species